rnacentral:misc_RNA from 1 species
AACGCACCUUGCGCCCUUUGGUAUUCCGAAGGGCAUGCCUGUUUGAGUGUCAUUAAAUCAUCAACCCAAAAGCUUUGUCACCGAAGCGUUUGCGGCUUGGACGUGGGGGUUUGCUGGCUUCCUUCAGUGGAUGGUCUGCUCCCCUUAAAUGCAUUAGCGGGAUCUCUUGUGGACCGUCACUUGGUGUGAUAAUUAUCUAUACCACGUUGGCCUUGAAGCAAAACUUAUGGGAACCCGCUCAUAACCGUCUUCGGACAACUCUUGACAUUUUGACCUCAAAUCAGGUAGGACUACCCGCUGAACUUAA